AUGUGUGCCGAGGCUGGGAACGGGGAGAGCAGCCCGGCAAGGAUCGAGGCAGGCAGAGCCAGUCUAUUGGCGGGGGGGGGAAGGUGGGGGGAGGGCGGGGCAGCCCUUUAUCCUGCUCCUUCAGUGCUGUGGCUGGGAACCCGAGGGAUUCAUGCUGCCCUCCAAGGUGAACGGAAGACCCGCCUGCUUUUCUCAGGGACAGUCCUCACAGGCACUCUCCCCACAGUGGGACUGGACAGGCACACUUGGCCUGAUCCGGUAAUUCAAGCUGUGUUUCCAGCUCUGCAGGUAAGUACUUGGUCUUUCUGCCUCUACCCGUCUUCCCCAGGUGCCUGGGGACUCAAGGAGAACACAGGAACUGAUGUGAGCCCACAUUGGAGGAGGACAGCCUUGCCCUGCGGGUCUUGCUCUGUCUCCCAGGCUGGAGCAGAUUCUACUGACCCCAUGUAAUCCAGGGGAGCUUAUUGAAGAAUACACGAUCAUGGCUCACUGCAGCCCCGAACUCCUGGGCUCAAGCAAUCCUCCCACCUCAGCCUCCUGAUUCGCUGGGAUUACAAGCGUGCAUCACCACACUCAGCUAUUUUUUAAAUUUUAUUAAUUAUUUUUAAAAUUUUAUAGAGAUGGGGCUCACUGUGUUACGCAGGCUGGUGUCGAAUUUCUGGGCUCAAGCCAUCCUCCUGCCUCCACCUCCCAAACUGCUGGGAUUGCAGCUGUGAGCCACUGCGCCCAGCCCUAAAAAAAUGUUUUCAGAAGCGACAAGUAGUCGUCUGAUUUUUAAAUGAUCAUGCUAGUGCUGAUGAGUCUGGAAGACACUAACAGGGCAGUCCCACAGUGUGGGCCAUCAGCAGGCAUGUUCUGGAGGCUCAGUCACAUCAGUUUCCAGCUCUAAAGACGGAGCUGCAGACGUCAUGAUGGCUAACCAGAAGCCUUUGUGUCGGGGGACUGGCGGGGGCAGUGAUUUGGGCACCAUGAACACAGUAAGACAGGGACGGGUGCAAAAAGAGGGCAGUAACAGAGAAACCCAGGAAUGCUGUCCCCACCUCCCAGGAAGGGAGCCAUUUCCCCAGAGGACAGAGGCCUGCCGCAUCUCGCCUGGCUAAUCUGACGGAAGCCAGCUGCAACGCUAGGCCUGCCCCCGGGAAGGCAUGCUGAGGCUGGGAACCACAUGCCGCUGUCUGCCCCUGGGGGACAGGGGCACAGGCAGAGGGUAAUUGACUUGUCUCCCAAGUUUAUUUAUUAAUUCCUAGCUGCACCAUUUGAUGUGGUUUCCAGGAGGCACGCCAUUGAAAUCUGCCCCCCUCCCCACUCCUGGCUGCAGUGGCCCCGAAGGAGGUGGGUGAAGCUCAGGGCUAGCCCAAAAGUCAGACCAGGUGCAGGCAGGGGACUAGGAAGGGUACCCACCAAGCUGAGAAGCUCACUGGCCCCAGCGCAGGCAGCAGGCCACGGUAUG
rnacentral:lncRNA from 13 species